AAACUGAAGAGUUUGAUCAUGGCUCAGAUUGAACGCUGGCGGCAGGCUUAACACAUGCAAGUCGAACGAUGAUUAUCUAGCUUGCUAGAUAUGAUUAGUGGCGGACGGGUGAGUAACAUUUAGGAAUCUGCCUAGUAGUGGGGGAUAGCUCGGGGAAACUC
rnacentral:ncRNA from 1 species